CCCAUAUUUUGGUGAAACUAUUGAUACCAAAACUCCGGGUUUGGCUCCAUAAUAUAGAUAGAUAGAUAGAUAGAUAGACAGAGUAAGUAGAUAAAUAGAUAUGAUAAGUUUUUUAGUUGUCAGUUUCCCAAUCUGUCCUUUACAUACAAAUUGGAUUAGAGAGUAGCUAAAUCUCAUAUUAUUGUCCCAUAAAACAAUAGCGACAUCAUAUGUAAUCUCCUGAAUAUAUUUUGAUAUUCUUAAAAAGAAAAAGAAAAAGAAAAAGAAAGAAACUCCGAAUCACUUACCAAAUGGUUUUUAGUAGCCGAACCCGCGAAAAUGGACGAGCCCAACAGCCAAGGCGCGAAAUAAAACGUCUCAGACGCAGAGAAGCACACCUUCACCACUAUUGAAUCACGGCCACUGAAAACCCCUUCACCAAUACUGAAUGACGGCCACUAUUGAAGCACGACCAGCGUGGUCUUAAAUGAGGAAGGUCACUAAUGAGGAACAAAGUAUAUAACAAGGGUGGGGAUAGCUCUAUUCCAGCUAUUUGUGAAGAGCAGGACUUUGAAACUUUACUAGCUGCUAGACCAAGUAUCCUCGUCUUAUAGCUGUCAUGUGCCUUCCCAGCUGCACUUUCUAGAGACACAUGCUUUCAAUCUGGUUGUUUCUCUGACAAUGGAACCUCAGGCUCAUCUAGCCUGAAACCUCGAGAGUUCCUAUGGUGGUUCUUGAAGGAAACCGUGAAAUUCAGUGCCAAGUUAUUGGAAUCACUUUAACAUCCUAUUUGACAAGGUUCAUACGUAGUUCCAUCAGAGGAAUCUUUCUUUAAAAGUAACUUCUACUCUUCAGUGUUUUCUCAAUGUUCAUUCAUGGUCCCCAGUAUGCUUGGCUUAAAAGGUGAUCUUUAUUGAGUAGACCGCACAGUGAGUUCAGGAUGAAUGCAGGAGACCGGAAAUGCAUCUGCACUUUUUAGAGAGACAUGCUUUCAAUCUGGUUGUUUCUUUGAAAAUGGAAGCUCAGGCUCAUGUAACCUGAAACCUCGAGAGUUCCUAUGGUGGUUAUUGAAGGAAACCAUCAAAUUCAUAGCCAAGUUACUGGAAUCACUUUGACAUCCUAUUUGACAAGUCCGUAGUUCCAUCAGAGGAAUCUGUCUUUAAAAUUAACUUCUACUACUCUUCUGAUGCUGGACGACUGCAUUUCUUCAGGUUGGGAGCAUUUGUUGACUACAAUGCUACCUGUUAUUGAAGCUAUACUUAAUAUUCACAAAUCACUAAAAACAACAGAUAUUUAGGAUUAAGUAUUGUGAUCAGGUGCUGAAUGCUGAAUGCUUCCCUCUCAGCACUAUUUUUAUCAAUAUGGAUGUGAUGUUUUUCUUGGUCAUGUAAGUUCUGUUGAUUCAUUCUGUAGUCAUUUCUUAUUGAUAUGGUACUUAGGUUAGGAUUUUCGUUUUGAUGCCAGGCUUUGAUAUAUCCUUUCUUCUACUAAAUACUCUUUUGAACUUAAAAUUUUAUCUUCCAUUUCCACGGUAAGGUUACUCUGAGCUCUUCCCUAAAAUUUGGAGAGAGAGAAAAGAGAAAAAAACACUGAAAAACUUGUGCAUUGCAAUGUCACAGACUCACAAUAUGCUUUUCCUGUAUAUAGACUAAACAUCAAUCGAGAUGUGAGUUUCAGGAGAAUGAUAAAGAGAGAAAAGAUCAUGUAUUUUCUUCAAUCUCAGUUCUGCUAAUCUUCUCUGUUCUGAAAUCAAUGAACGCACAAGUUAUAUGAAACUAACUUUUUGUGAAUUGAAGUAACUUAAAUUGUGAUAUAUGAAUGUAUGAUUUAAUCCAUUUUAUCUGUUAAGCAUAAACUCUCUCACACUUGGAAAUUCUUUCAUUUCAGGGCAUUAAAUCAUAAAAUAGAUUUGCAUAAGGAUAUGUGGUGCAGGUGAUUAGAUCUUGAUAUUGUUUGGCUGCUCUCCAUAGCCAAUCUUUUAUUUACUGGUUUGUACUUGAUAUUUUAGUAUGAGUUCCUUCUGGUCAAUAUUGCCAGCACAGCUGUUAUUUUAUUCAGCCAGUUGACAUCAUUAUAGAGGAUUACAUUCUAUUAUCAUCACAAAAGAGAUUAGGAUUUGAUGAUCAGUCAUUCGUGUACUAAAGAAAGAAUAACACAUUGCCCCUUUUAUUGUGUUGAUAUAAAUUCUACCACUCCACACAUGCAUCUGUAAUUGCCAAUAUAUAUAUAGUUAUUAGAAGAAAUAAUUAAUCAGAUAAGUAUUAUUCUUUUGUCAUUACGAUAAUCUUAAUUGAAUUAAACAGAAUGAAACUGCUUCAUGUUUUCUUAUAUGAUUCAGUUGUGACAUUGUUAUGAGAUUUGCUUUUAAGGGCAUGAUAUAUGUGGAAAUAAGAAGGCAGAAGUUCAAGUUUUGUCCCUUAUUUAAAUUAAAUUUGGAGUUCUCAUGCAGAAUAAGAUAUAUAGAAAGUCACUCCUCUCUGAAUUUUGAGAGCCAAGUCUUUUGAACUUUUCUUCACGGCCGGCCAAAGGUAACAGACAGUCAGUGUGGACUGGAGUUAGAGAAAGUAGCUUUAGGGAUGGAAUACUUGACGUACAAUUAAUCUCAGUUUGAAAUUUUGUUGACAAGUGUCUACAAGGCUUAAUAAUUAGUUUGUCCUGAUUUCUAUAGAUAGGUUGUGUAUCUGUGAAGCUUGCUACUUGGUGAAGAUUAUGAAAAUAGAAAUGUAGUUGCACUAAGUUAGCGUGAACUUUUUCUGAUAUCUGUUUCUUUUUGUGAUACUCUUACAUCUCUCUUAAGUAUCACUUUUUUUUUUUUGAGAAUGCUCUUAAUUAUCACUUUAAUAUCUAAAUUAGUUGUGAAUUCUACAUAUGCUCUGUAAACAUGGCAGAGGAAUCAAAAUAUAAGGCACUAAGGCAUGGCGAUCAAGUUUACAUUUUUCGGCAACCCUGAAAGCCCUGAUCAGAAUUCUUAAGAUGACAGGUCCAAAAACUUCACUACUUUAUUUCUAUCUACGCAGUUGCUUCCCCUUCAAUUUUUAAUUUUUUACCCGUUGGAAACUGUAAAACGCCUAGUAGUUAAAAUAACUUGUGCAUAAUUGGACUCUCUAUAUUGGUUUCCAAAGUCGAAGUCCUUCUGCAUAAGAUUAGUCAAAUUUUUUAACUAUGAAGAUGUUGUUUUUUUUUUUUGCCAAAAUGAAUAGAUUGCUUUAAUUGUUCUCGGUGAAACUCUUUUCUUAAGCAUUAAAAUAUCCAAAAUUCUCACCGUACAUUACACUGGAACCAUAAACUACAACAGGACUAUUUUAAGAACUGAAUGAGUGUCAAAACUCCAUACAUGAAAUUCUAUUAACUUGCUAUAACUGUGCAACAAAUGAACUGUGUGGGACAAUCAUAUGUGUUGGCUGAUCCGUUGUUGAUAUACUUGCUUGUGUUGGGAGUUCUUUAUCUUCUAGGCUCUCUUUCUCCUUGCCCACUUUGUCCAAGUAGACUCUUUUGCUGUGAGAGCUCUGCAACUAUUCUUUUUAUCUUACAAAUGCAAAACCCUAACAAAGUGCUUUUCCUUCAAGUUAUAUGUAAUGCAAGAUAUAUAUAUAUAUAUUUUUUGAGAAUGAUGUAAUCCAAGGUUUAAUUAUGUAAAUUAUUGUAUCCAUUAUGUUCUUAUCAAAAUCUAGAAACCAUUUGUUGGAGAGACUUUGAAAAAAAGUCAGUUUACGAUCAGAGAAAGAUGAAAGCAGAGAGGAUUGAAAAUUGUUGUUAUGAGUCUCAGAGGCAAUGGCAAGGAAAAUAUAUUUUCUCAAAAAAAAAAAAAAAAAAAAAAAGCCGGAGACCAUCAACGGUCCACCAACCCGAUUAAACCCUCCACAUCUUUUCCAGUCAUCAUCUCCGGCAGCUGCCAAUCUCUUCAGAAACAGGCUCGAAGAGCUGCCACUCAUGUUGUUUGAAAUUACAAAGGCUACAACUUUACUUGUGUCUUUUGCCUCAAAUGUGUGUUCCCAAUUCGACUGGCAACUACUUGAUAUCUUUCCAGGACCACCAUCACCUUCAACAUUCACAGAGUAAUCCUUGGAAGUAUUAAAUGAUCGCAGCAAGUGCGUAGUCUCUUCUGGAAAGUAAUGAUCUGCAGAACCCCAUGGAUGCUUUGUCAUAAUCAUUCUUUCCAGCUCCAUGGCUACUUCUCUCAUGGUAGGCCUUUCCUCCCCUUUUACCCUCAAACAUCUUCUUGCAAGAUUGGCCGCAUUUUCUAUUACUCUCUGGUCAAUAACUCCUUCAUUAACAAUGUCAUCAUAUAGAAUUUGGUUCAAGUAACCAUCAUAUAGAAUUUGGUUCAAGUAUUCCUGAAGGUAGCUUAUUCAUUCUUUUCUUUCUUAUAAAUUGCUUAUAGUGUGAAUGUUGUUAGCACUUGCUAAUGAAGCAAUAAAGAUCAUAAAUGAAAGAUUGAGUGAAUUGUAGAGUUCAGAUUUAUGCACAAAACUCAAGUUCAUUUUCUGCUGAACAGUGAAACGGUGUUGUUUUCUAUGGCAAUUUUGUAUAUUGCAAGACAGUUGAAAGUUAUUUAUUGUUUCUUCACAGU